rnacentral:rRNA from 1 species
CUACGUGCCAGCAGCCGCGGUAAUACGGAGGAUGCGAGCGUUAUCCGGAUUUAUUGGGUUUAAAGGGUGCGUAGGUUGUUCGGUAAGUCAGCGGUGAAACCUGAGCGCUCAACGUUCAGCCUGCCGUUGAAACUGCCGGGCUUGAGUUCAGUGGCGGCAGGCGGAAUUCGUGGUGUAGCGGUGAAAUGCAUAGAUAUCACGAGGAACUCCGAUUGCGAAGGCAGCUUGCCAUACUGCGACUGACACUGAAGCACGAAGGCGUGGGUAUCAAACAGGAUUAGAUACCCUGGUAGUCCACGCAGUAAACGAUGAUUACUAGGAGUUUGCGAUAUACCGUCAAGCUUCCACAGCGAAAGCGUUAAGUAAUCCACCUGGGGAGUACGCCGGCAACGGUGAAACUCAAAGGAAUUGACGGGGGCCCGCACAAGCGGAGGAACAUGUGGUUUAAUUCGAUGAUACGCGAGGAACCUUACCCGGGAU